GACGUAGGAUGCAAGCGUUGUCCGGAAUUAUUGGGCGUAAAGAGCUCGUAGGCGGCUUGUCGCGUCGGCUGUGAAAACCUGGGGCUCAACCCCGGGCCUGCAGCCGAUACGGGCAAGCUAGAAUUCGGUAGGGGAGACUGGAAUUCCUGGUGUAGCGGUGAAAUGCGCAGAUAUCAGGAGGAACACCGGUGGCGAAGGCGGGUCUCUGGGCCGAUACUGACGCUGAGGAGCGAAAGCGUGGGGAGCGAACAGG
rnacentral:rRNA from 1 species